GAUGAACGCUAGCGGCAGGCCUAAUACAUGCAAGUCGAGCGGUAAGGCUCCUUCGGGAGUACACGAGCGGCGGACGGGUGCGUAACGCGUAUGCAACCUACCCUUUAGAGGGGGAUAGGCUGGAGAAAUCCAGAUUAAUACCCCAUAGUAAUUCGAAAUCGCAUGGUUUUGGAUUUAAAGUUCAGGCGCUAAAGGAUGGGCAUGCGUGACAUUAGCUAGUUGGUGAGGUAACGGCUCACCAAGGCGACGAUGUCUAGCUGGUCUGAGAGGAUGAUCAGCCACACUGGGACUGAGACACGGCCCAGACUCCUACGGGAGGCAGCAGUAGGGAAUAUUGGACAAUGGACGCAAGUCUGAUCCAGCCAUGCCGCGUGAAGGAAGACGGCCCUCUGGGUUGUAAACUUCUUUUAGCAGGGAAUAAACCAUCUCUAUAUGAGGUGUUGAAGGUACCUGCAGAAUAAGCACCGGCUAACUCCG
rnacentral:rRNA from 1 species